GACGAAGGUGGCAAGCGUUGUUCGGAAUCACUGGGCAUAAAGCGUGCGUAGGCGGCCAGAUCAGUCGGGUGUGAAAUCCCUCGGCUCAACCGAGGAACUGCGCCCGAUACUGUCUGGCUUGAGGUCCGGAGGGGAGAGUGGAAUUCCCGGUGGAGCGGUGAAAUGCGUAGAGAUCGGGGAGAACGCCGGCGGCGAAAGCGACUCUCUGGUCGGAUCCUGACGCUGAGGCACGAAAGCUAGGGGAGCAAACGGG
rnacentral:rRNA from 1 species